rnacentral:lncRNA from 1 species
GUGAUGCAGUGUGACUCUCAGGAUUAUGUAGUUAUAUAAGACUUGGUCUGUUUGAAAGAUUUGAAGAAGCCAGCUACCCUGAGGUCUACAUCUUUCCACAGCCUUGGUGUUGGAACCUAAUCCUCAACGUGGUGGUAGGUUUACCACCUGAAGCAGAGAACAGCCCUCACCAGAUACUGAACCAGCUGGUGCCUUAACAUUGGACUUCCAGCCUCCAGAACUGUGAGAUAGACAAGUAAAAUAGUAAAAACUGGAAUGGUUUCAGAAACACUAGAACAUAUGGUACCCAUCCU